GGGCCGCUAGCUCAGUUGGUAGAGCAUAUCCCUUUUACGGAUAGGGGCGAUGGUUCGAAUCCAUCGCGGCUCA
rnacentral:tRNA from 1 species